AUGCUCCUACGGGAGGCAGCAGUGGGGAAUAUUGCACAAUGGGGGAAACCCUGAUGCAGCGAUGCCGCGUGGAGGAAGAAGGUUUCGGAUUGUAAACUCCUUUUAUCAGGGACGAUAAUGACGGUACCUGAAGAAAAAGCUCCGGCUAACUACGUGCCAGCAGCCGCGGUAAUACGUAGGGAGCGAGCGUUGUCCGGAGUUACUGGGUGUAAAGGGAGCGUAGGCGGGACGGCAAGUCAGAUGUGAAAACUGAGGGCUCAACUUUCAGACUGGAUUUGAAACUGCUGUUCUUGAGUGAAGUAGGG
rnacentral:rRNA from 1 species